CUCAAGGCACAGAGGGACCGGGAGAGACGCCUGGCGAGGCGUCCCCUCGGCGACUCGCCCGACGCCGCGCUCCCCGGACUCGCGCCGACUGAGCUGGCACAGAACCGGACUUAAAAAGGGGGGUCUAGAGGAACGGAAGAAAAAUGACUCGAUACUCUUGGCUGUAUCUACUACGGCAGUGGACCUCUUGGCUGGACUCCUUGUUCUGUUCCCGCAUCUAAAUCUUAACGAAGAAUAUGAACUUCUUGAAGGCAAGGACUCCUCUCAUAUAUUUAAUAUUCUCAGUGCCUAGCACGAUAUGGAACUUUUAGUCAACAUGCAAUAACUGUUUAACAAGAGAAUAAGUGGAUUACGUGGCACUGUGUCAUUUAUGGUGAAAGGAAGUUGUGCAUUAUAAUAUGGUCUUAUUAUCAUCUGGAAUUGUUUGAUCAUCCCAUGGACUAAUGGAGAUUUCAAUUCUCUGUUGAAAUUAUAUUAGCUCAAGCAGUAUAACCAAACUCUGAUGGAGACUGCAGGGUUGUAGACAGAGUAAAUGACUUCUGUUUUCUAUCGAACUUGUCCCCCAACCUCCUUCUAUGGUUCAGGGCCUUUACUCCUGGAUAACAGCGGCAUACCAUUUGGCCAUUAUAGGCUGAAAGCCUUUUGCUCCCAUCUUCCCAAAUAUUUCCAAUGUCCCACGUCUGUGUCUAGGAGAGGUAGCUUUACUUGCUCUGUAUUGCUCUGCUGCUGGACAGGGAACUUAAAAAAUCAGACCACUGCACGUGAAGAUUAAGCUCCUGCUACCACCAUCCAUCUCUAGAACUUUUCCAUCAUCCCCACCUCUGUUCCCAUUAGACACUGACUUCUCAUUCUCCCCUAUUCCAGGCCAUAGUAACCACUAUUGUACUUUCUGUUUCUGUGAAUUUGGUUAUUCUAGUUAUCUCAUAUAAGUAGGAUCAUACAAUAUGUGUUCAUUUGUGUCUGUCUUAUUUCACUCAGCAUAUUGUUUUCAAGAUUCAUCCAUGUUGUAUCAUGACUCAGAAUUCCAAUGCUUUUUGAGGCAGAAUAAUAUUCCAUUGUAUGUGUGUGUAUAUAUAUAUAUAUAUAUAUAUACACACCACAUUUUGUUU